CCCUUAGAUGUUCUGGGCCGCACGCGCGCUACACUGACGGAUUCAACGAGCUUACAACCUUGGCCGAAAGGUCUGGGUAAUCUCCAAAAUCCGUCGUGAUGGGGAUAGAUUAUUGCAAUUAUUAAUCUUCAACGAGGAAUGCCUAGUAAGCGCAAGUCAUCAGCUUGCGUUGAUUACGUCCCUGCCCUUUGUACACACCGCCCGUCGCUACUACCGAUUGAAUGAUUUAGUGAGGACUUCGGACUGGGACCGAUGCGGCUUUCGGGCUGCGUCGGUAUUCUGGAAAGAUGUCCAAACUGUAUCAUUUAGAGGAAGUAAAAGUCGUAACA
rnacentral:rRNA from 1 species